GUCAGGAUGGCCGAGCGGUCUAAGGCGCUGCGUUUAGGUAGCAGUCUCCUCUGGAGGCGUGGGUUGAAUCCCACUUCUGACA
rfam:Danio rerio chromosome 4, GRCz11 reference primary assembly.